rnacentral:rRNA from 1 species
GUGGGGAAUAUUGGACAAUGGGCGGAAGCCUGAUCCAGCCAUGCCGCGUGUGUGAAGAAGGCCUUUUGGUUGUAAAGCACUUUAAGCGAGGAGGAGGCUCUUAAGGUUAAUACCCUUGAUGAGUGGACGUUACUCGCAGAAUAAGCACCGGCUAACUCUGUGCCAGCAGCCGCGGUAAUACAGAGGGUGCGAGCGUUAAUCGGAUUUACUGGGCGUAAAGCGUGCGUAGGCGGCUGAUUAAGUCGGAUGUGAAAUCCCUGAGCUUAACUUAGGAAUUGCAGUCGAUACUGGUCAGCUAGAGUAUGGGAGAGGAUGGUAGAAGUCCAGGUGUAGCGGUGAAAUGCGUAGAGAUCUGGAGGAAUACCGAUGGCGAAGGCAGCCAUCUGGCCUAAUACUGACGCUGAGGUACGAAAGCAUGGGGAGCAAACAGGAUUAGAAACCCUAGUAGUCC